rnacentral:sRNA from 1 species
GGGAUCCUGUGGCUUUUUCUGGGAACACUGUCCUGGUCCUUUGCCCGGGUUUUAGGGAAGGAUGAGUAGUGUCGGGAUGGUGGAAGCAGGAGAAGAGAGCAGCGUGGUUUGCCGAGAUUAGGGGUGCUGAGAUUUAGGGGUCUUGGAUCUGCCACUGGCUCUUGAUAGGUCCCUGGGUGGUCAGUGGCCUCCAGAUUUUUGUUGUGUCUUCAGUGAAAUGAUGCUGGGCCCCACUGCCCAGCUCACCUCCUGGGGCUGUAGGAGGCACCGGAGAUAAUGGCUGCGGAGGGUCUUGUAACCUGAACAUUGCUUGCAAACGUAAGGAAUUCUAGUUACUGGGAGGAAGCACAGGGCAGAGGCCAGAAGAGGCCCUCAGAUUUGAGGCACCCUAGCCCGGACAGACAAGGAUCCACCAGCUCUGGGGGCGUGAGACCCAAGCUGGCAAGAAUCUGCAGCCUGGAGCCGAGGCUGUGGGUGCCUCAGUGGAGGCCGAGUCAGACUGAUGUGGCAGCUUUGACCCUCACGGCCUCCUUUCUUCUGUCCCUUGACCUUCGGCCCCUCCCUGUCCACCGUGGCCUCCGAGUCUCCUCCACUCUUCCUUCUGUCUCAGCCCUCAGCUCUAGGCGCCCCUCCAGAGACCCAGCUGUCUUCCCAGGCCCCCCCCAGCAAGGACUAGCUUCAUCUGAACCACACACACACUCACGGUUCAACCUCAGACUAAAAUUAUCCUCUCCCCUGGGCAGGAUGAAGGGCAGCCGACUCCCUGGUGAGGGUGGAGACAGACAGCACCAAAUGGUCAGGCCAGAGAAGGGGCCAGGGCUAAAAAUGGACAAGGAGGUGUUUGUGGAGGGCCCCUGCGGCUCCUGCGCCAUCGACGCGGGUUAGGGCUGGAGUCUGCAGGGUGGCGGGUGCAGGAAGGGAGGGUGGGGCAGGACUGGGAGGAGACUCGGACCUUGGCUGGCGGUGCCCUCCCUGUCCACACAGCUGGGUGUGGGGCCACUCAGCCACAGGCUGCAUGCCUGUCGGUCUUUUUCUGGCACCCUCCUUGAGGCCAGCAUCAGGCUUUGGGUUCGUAUUUGGGGGUGUGCCCUGGACGGAGUGUGGGCUUCCAGCCAGGCUGCCCCACUGGCAGUUUGGCAAAGCCAGGACCUAUCUGGAAGCCGAAGCCAGGGAUCACCAGGUGGACCCAGCAGGGUGGGACUGAGUGACUGACCCUGGGGUGUUGGAUUCCAUCUGGCCCCCGGCUGCCUUCAAACAGGUGUUCAGUGGAAAGCGACUGGAGGCUGAGUUCCCCGCUCAUCACUCUCAGAGCACCUUCCGGAAGACCUCGCCCGCCCCUGGGGGCCCAGCAGGGGAGGGACCCCUGCAGAGCCUUACCUGCCUCAUUGGGGAGAAGGACCUGCGCCUCCUGGAGAAGCUGGGCGAUGGCUCCUUUGGCGUGGUGCGCAGGGGCGAGUGGGACGCGCCCUCAGGGAAGACGGUGAGCUCUCUGUGUCCUGCCAGUGCAGCAGAGGCAUGGGACCUGGGGCUGGUAGUGGCUCUUCUGCCCCCAACCAGGAUGUGGAUGGGACCGGGGACGCGUCACAGUGUGGCUCAUCCCAGAGUCCAUGCUCAAGAUUUUUGGGGUUUUAUUUAUUUAUUUUUUUGAGACGGAGUCUCGCUCUGUCGCCCAGGCUGGAGCGCAAUAGGCACGAUCUUGGCUCCCUGCAACCUCCACUUUCUGGGUUCAAGAGAUCCUCCUGCCUCAGCCUCCUGAGUAGCUGGGAUUACAGGUGCGCGCCACCACACCCAGCUAGUUUCUGUCUUUUUAGUAGAGAUGGGGUUUCACCAUGUUGGCCAGGCUGGUCUCAAACCCCUGACCUCAGGUGAUCUGCCCACCUUAGCCUCCCAAAGUGCUGGGAUUACAGAUGUGAGCCACUAUGCCCAGCCCAUGCUCAGGUUUAACUAAGCACAUUUAUUAUUUCAACUAUAAAAAUAAUUUACUUAUUAUAAAAUUUGGAAAGUAUUUGAAAAACAAGAAAAAAAAGUUGCGUGUAAUCCCACCAGUCAGAGGAAGCCGAGUUGGCAUUUCUGCCUCUUCCUCCCACUUUAGGUAUUUUGUUGGAUUUAGUUAAGAUACAAAUUCUGGAUACAGCUUUUAAAAUCUUGUUCUUUCUUCUCGGCAUUGCAUUUAACAUUUUCCCCUCAGGGAUAACGUGUGCACCACAGCAUACAGUUCUGGUGUGAGUGUUUCCUAUGCAGGAGCCGUGUCCUUACUGCUCAGAUCACGUGUGGUGCAUUCCCGGCACCUCAGAGGGCUCCUCAUGCUCCGUCCACUCAGUGCAUCCUUCUCCUGGGGAAGCUGCUGUCACUCAGUGCGUCCUUCUCCUGGGGAAGUCGCUGUGCCGACUUCUAGCUCCACACGUUUGUUUUUGGCAUUACAUUUAAAGCAUUUUCCUUCUACAGCAAAAUACCUUUUAAUAUUCCAUUUUAUGACCAGCCUGAGCAAUAUGGAGAAACCCCAUCUCUACUAAAAUACAAAAUUAGCCAGGCGUGGUGGCACCUGCCUGUAAUCCCAGCUACUCAGGAGGCUGAGGCAGGAGAAUCACUUGAACCCGGGAGGCAGAGGUUGCAGUGAGCUGAGAUCACGUCACUGCACUCCAGCCUGGGCGACAAGAGCGAGACUCUGUCUCAAAAAAAAAAAUCCAUUUUAUAACAUUUGAAUAUUCUGUCAUCAUACUGGUUAUCUCUUACUUUUUGGUUGGUAUUGAAGCCUGGCAUUCCCCCAGGAAGGGGAGGCGUGGCCGACGAUGGCUCCCGAGGGCCAGCCGUCUGCCCUUCUCCAGCCAGGCCUCACGCAGAGCACGUAAGCCCAGACACUGGUGACAUGCUUACCCACCCAGAUGAGGAGCUCGGAGGCAGGGAUCGUUGAGUCAAAUUGGAGGGUGGAGCAGGUUGGCUCCUCGUGUCCGGGACCUGGCAAGUCCUGAGUCCUUGCAAAUCCUGCUCUGGGCAGGUGAGUGUGGCUGUGAAGUGCCUGAAGCCCGAUGUCCUGAGCCAGCCGGAAGCCAUGGACGACUUCAUCCGGGAGGUCAAUGCUAUGCACUCGCUCGACCACCGAAACCUCAUCCGCCUCUACGGGGUGGUGCUCACGCCGCCCAUGAAGAUGGUGACAGAGCUGGCACCUCUGGGAUCGUUGUUGGACCGGCUACGUAAGCACCAGGGCCACUUCCUCCUGGGGACUCUGAGCCGCUACGCUGUGCAGGUGGCUGAGGGCAUGGGCUACCUGGAGUCCAAGCGCUUUAUUCACCGUGACCUGGCUGCCCGCAAUCUGCUGUUGGCUACCCGCGACCUGGUCAAGAUCGGGGACUUUGGGCUGAUGCGAGCACUACCUCAGAAUGACGACCAUUACGUCAUGCAGGAACAUCGCAAGGUGCCCUUCGCCUGGUGUGCCCCUGAGAGCCUGAAGACACGCACCUUCUCCCAUGCCAGCGACACCUGGAUGUUCGGGGUGACACUGUGGGAAAUGUUCACCUACGGCCAGGAGCCCUGGAUCGGCCUCAACGGCAGUCAGAUCCUGCAUAAGAUCGACAAAGAGGGGGAGCGGCUGCCUCGGCCCGAGGACUGUCCCCAGGACAUCUACAAUGUCAUGGUCCAGUGCUGGGCUCACAAGCCAGAGGACAGACCCACGUUUGUGGCCCUGCGGGACUUCCUGCUGGAGGCCCAGCCCACGGACAUGCGGGCCCUUCAGGACUUUGAGGAAGCGGACAAGCUGCACAUCCAGAUGAAUGAUGUCAUCACCGUUAUCGAGGGAAGGGCCGAGAACUACUGGUGGCGUGGCCAGAACACGCGGACGCUGUGUGUGGGGCCCUUCCCUCGCAACGUGGUGACCUCCGUGGCCGGCCUGUCGGCCCAGGACAUCAGCCAGCCCCUGCAGAACAGCUUCAUCCACACGGGGCAUGGCGACAGUGACCCCCGCCACUGCUGGGGCUUCCCGGACAGGAUUGACGAACUGUAUCUGGGAAACCCCCUGGACCCCCCCGACCUGCUGAGCGUGGAACUGAGCACCUCCCGGCCCCCCCAGCAUCUAGGAGGGGUGAAAAGUAAGAGCUCCCCUCUGCUCCCUAGUGUCCCUAACUCAUCGGCUGCUCAGGAAGGGGCACUGUCUUCACAGACCACCCUGAGCCUGCUGUUCUGGCUCUGGGGACAGUGGGGUCAGGGCAGCAGGCGGGACAGCUGUGUCCCUGGCUCCCGCUGGGCGUGGGGUGGAAGACAGGCAGCUGUAUCCGCCGAGGUGGGCCUCCUCGAGCUGGGUCUGCAGCAAGCCCGUCUGCCCUGGAGUCCCUCCUCCCUCCUUCCACAGCCGAGCUCAGAUUCUGGCUUUCCUCACUUCCCCCUAACCCUGCUCUCCUGUCCCAAUCCAAAACCACCCCAUGGCUCCGGCUCCACCUAGAGCCUCCUCCAUCUCCCGGUCCUCUGCCUGUCAUACCGGACCGCCGUGUUCCUCAUCCUGCCGCCCACGGCCUCCCGUUUGCUGGGGGCUUGUACACUCACCCGCCCCCAUUCACUUCUCUCCCUUCCUGUUUCUCUACACUCUGUCCUCUCGUCCGGCCGUCUCCCUCCUUUGUCCUCUGUCCUGCUCCGUCCCUCUCCCCCUGUCCGCAUGGCCUUUCUUGCAGGGGAGCCUCCACCUCGCCCACCUCAGCCUGCCUUCUUCACUCAGAGUAAGUGGGGCUGCUUCCGAUGCCUUGGCCCCCGCCCCCGCCCCCUCUCUCUCACUCCUCUCCUGGAAGGUACAGAGCCCGGGCGGCUGGGCCGGAGGGGAGGUGGGUGUGUGCUGUGAGCUUCCGCGGCUGCCCUGGCCUAGCGUGCCUGCCUCCCGAGCCUGCCCCCCGGAGCCUGGGCUUCUGGAGCACGAGUGUGGCCCUGGCUUCCGCCUCGGCCUCACUCCCUCCCAGACCUGCAGGCGCUCUCUGGGCUUCGUGGCCCUUGGUCAGGAGUGCUGUUCUCUCCAAGGAUAGUUCCUAUAGCCCCUGAUGGCAGGAGGCGGCUCCGUGCCUGCACUAAUGGUGUGCCGUGACGGGGGCGGGGAUGAGGGCUUACUAACUCACCCGGGCACAGGAGCAGGGCUGCGGGGUCUUGUGCUGAUGGAGGCAGCAGCCAGUGUUGCUUGCUCCAGCUUAGACGGAGGGAAGCGGGGCUCACCGGCCCGCACGGGGCUGCCGCGCAGAGCAGGUUCCGCCCUCCUGAUGGAGUGGUCGGAGGUGCGCUGAGAACCUGGCCGCCGAUGGCUGACCUCAGACCUCGGGGGGAGCUGGGAGUGGAGGGUUGCUGGGGGACACUCGGCUUUCUUUCCCAUGUGCCACCUCCCCUCGUGCCCCGACCCUGCCUGACUGCCUUCCUGUUGGGGUCUCCCUUUCCAUCACAGAACCAACCUAUGACCCUGUGAGCGAAGACCAAGACCCCCUGUCCAGCGACUUCAAGAGGCUGGGCCUGCGGAAGCCAGGCCUGCCCCGAGGGCUGUGGCUGGCGAAGCCCUCGGCGCGCGUGCCGGGCACCAAGGCCGGCCGAGGCAGCGGGGCUGAGGUCACGCUCAUCGACUUUGGUGAGGAGCCCGUGGUCCCGGCCCUACGGCCCUGUGCGCCCUCCCUGGCGCAGCUGGCCAUGGACGCCUGCUCCCUGCUGGACGAGACCCCGCCUCAGAGCCCCACGCGGGCACUGCCCCGGCCCCUGCACCCCACGCCUGUGGUGGACUGGGACGCACGCCCGCUGCCUCCCCCGCCCGCUUAUGACGAUGUGGCCCAGGAUGAGGAUGACUUUGAGGUCUGCUCCAUCAACAGCACCCCGGUGGGCGCGGGGGUCCCUGCCGGGCCCAGCCAGGGCCAGACCAACUACGCAUUUGUGCCUGAGCAG